AGCGAACGCUGGCGGCAGGCCUAACACAUGCAAGUCGAACGAACCUUUCGGGGUUAGUGGCGGACGGGUGAGUCACACGUGGGAACGUGCCUUUAGGUUCGGAAUAACUCAGGGAAACUUGUGCUAAUACCGAAUGUGCCCUUCGGGGGAAAGAUUUAUCGCCUUUAGAGCGGCCCGCGUCUGAUUAGCUAGUUGGUUGAGGUAAUGGCUCACCAAGGCGACGAUCAGUAGCUGGUCUGAGAGGAUGAUCAGCCACAUUGGGACUGAGACACGGCCGAAACUCCUACGGGAGGCAGCAGUGGGGAAUCUUGCGCAAUGGGCGAAAGCCUGACGCAGCCAUGCCGCGUGAAUGAUGAAGGUCUUAGGAUUGUAAAAUUCUUUCACCGGGGACGAUAAUGACGGUACCCGGAGAAGAAGCCCCGGCUAACUUCGUG
rnacentral:rRNA from 1 species